AAUAGAUACCCUGGUAGUCCACGCCGUAAACGUUGGAUACUAGGUGUGGCGGUCUUACCAACGACUGCCGUGCCGAAGCUAACGCAUUAAGUAUCCCGCCUGGGGAGUACGGCCGCAAGGCUAAAACUCAAAGGAAUUGACGGGUCCCCGCACAAGCGGCGGAGCAUGCGGCUUAAUUCGAUGCAACCCGAAGAACCUUACCUGGGUUUGACAUCACGGGAAAAGCUGUAGAAAUACAGUGUCCAUUAGGGCCCGUGACAGGUGGUGCAUGGCUGUCGUCAGCUCGUGUCGUGAGAUGUUGGGUUAAGUCCCGCAACGAGCGCAACCCUUGUCCUAUGUUGCCAGCGGUUCGGCCGGGGACCCAUAGGAGACUGCCGGGGGAUAACUCGGAGGAAGGUGAGGACGACGUCAAGUCAUCAUGCCCCUUAUAUCCAGGGCUGCACGCAUGCUACAAUGGCCGGUACAACGGGCAGCGAUCCCGCGAGGGUGAGCGAAUCCUAAAAAGCCGGUCCUAGUUCGGAUUGAAGUCUGCAACUCGACUUC
rnacentral:rRNA from 1 species